AUGGGAAAUCUCUAUGAGGCUCAAAGAAUGGAUGGGAAGGGUAAAGACCCAGUCUAUUUUAGACUGCAACCAAGGUGUAGCUGGGGUCCAGGCAAACUCAACCAUGUGCACUGUCAGGGGAGCAUAAGCUCCAACCACUUUCUGACCUCAUGUUGCUGUAUUCCAGAUUCUAACUCCUGGAGGAGAAGGGAGGCUGAUUGCAGAAGUCCCAUUCUUGACAUCCUGGCUUGCAGUCUUACAAGACUCACAACAGAGGAUGAGAUGAGCACAUCGAGGCAUAGAGAGGAUGAACAACUUGCUGGUGCUCCCAGUAGCAGAGGAUCAACCCAGGAAGUGUGACUUCAAACCUCUGCCCUAAAUCCUGGUCGGCUACUCUUUCAGGGGUACUGUGAUAUGCAGAUAGCUGAGGGUGGAACAUGGGUGAAGUGUACCCUGGACCAAGCCUCUCCAGAGAUCUUCCUUAGUUGUCAUGGCUGUUUCUGUGUCUCACAAAGCACCAGCAUCCCCCUGCCACUGUGGGAUCCUCCAUUAAAAUAGACCUAGAAGAUCUGGAAUGAGCGGAAGGGUCUUCACUGAGGAGAGACUUGCAUGGUUACCCACCUCUCUGAUCUCUGAACGGGGAGAUUUUGGAGAAAUGGGACACUGGGCAGGGAAUGUUGGGUGGCCUCUGUGGGGAAAGGGAAAACCCUGUGGCAGAAUGGACAGGGCUCUGAUGGAAGGCCUGCUCAAUACUGACAUCACAUUAAUUCUGGUCCUGGUGCACAUGGGCCCCAUCCUGCCAAAUCCAACCCUACCCCUUAGUUACUGGGCAUAACUACAUUUUAUAGGCCAUUCUAUUUUUUUCUUUUGAAACAGACCUAAUUGUCCCAUAGAACUGAGGUCUAUGGACUUUUUUUUCCCCCUUUUUUGAAUAAACAUAGAAAUUCACCCUCCCUGUCUUACA
rnacentral:lncRNA from 13 species